GACAGAGGUGCCAAGCGUUAGGCGGAAUCACUGGGCUUAAAGCGUGUGUAGGCGGAUCGUUAAGUACCUUGUGAAAUCCCACGGCUCAACCGUGGAACUGCUCGGUAUACUGGCGGUCUUGAGCCACCUAGGGGCAGCUGGAACAAGCGGUGGAGCGGUGAAAUGCGUAGAUAUCGGAAGGAACAUCAGUGGCGAAAGCGGCUUCCUGGACCAGUACCGACGUUCAGGCACGAAAGCGUGGGGAGCAAACAGG
rnacentral:rRNA from 1 species